rnacentral:rRNA from 1 species
CACGUAGGGACCGAGCGUUGUCCGGAUUUAUUGGGCGUAAAGAGCUCGUAGGCGGUUUUGUAAGUCGGAUGUGAAAACUCAGGGCUCAACCCUGAGACGCCAUCUGAUACUGCAAUGACUAGAGUCCGGUAGGGGAGCAUGGAAUUCCUGGUGUAGCGGUGGAAUGCGCAGAUAUCAGGAGGAACACCAAUGGCGAAGGCAGUGCUCUGGGCCGGUACUGACGCUGAGGAGCGAAAGCAUGGGGAGCAAACAGG